GAUACCCAUCAUUAGACACGUUGCACCGAAACCAUAACAAUUUAGAUUUAGUCUGUUCAUGACCAUCCGAUGAUCCACUGGGAUUACUUUGUGCACUUCCGUGA